CCGGCGGGAAGGGACCUAGGGCUUGCUCCGCUUCGCCUCUGCUGGAAGGAAGGACUUUAUCACAAAGCAGGCGCCUAGGGCUAAGGAAAGCCAGGGUGUCUUGCUUCUUUGAGCCGGACAGCAGGGAGGAGGCCCCUUCUUCUGCAUAUUUGCUUCCUGGGACGCGGCUCCAGAGAGGACCCUUCAAACACGUUGGGUUGGUUCAAAAAGAAUUGGCACCCCAGAGACCUCUGCCAACUGCCAGACUCCGAGAGAGUGAACCACCUGCCUUUCAACCCUCCCGCCACGUGUGUCUGAGGAGACUCGGGUUUGGUUGCUUUGGAUACCAAGAACACGAGCUUGUCGGAUAUGAAGACAGAAGAAAUGGUGAGCCACCCCAUGGAGGUACACAGCCAGCGAUCACUUCUUAUAGAUUACAGAGGAAGCCUGAGAACACACCUGCCGUCUUUGGGGGACAUGGGCUUCCUGCGGUGCUCCAGUUGGAGGAAAUACAGUCCACGACCCCAGGCUGCCUGGCAGGCUCUCUGAACUGCCCCAAUAUCCUCUGACCUAGUCAAUCCAUUCCAGCAU
ensembl:antisense 2210019I11Rik RIKEN cDNA 2210019I11 gene